GACGAACCGUGCGAACGUUAUUCGGAAUCACUGGGCUUAAAGGGCGCGUAGGCGGGCCGCCAGGUCCGGGGUGAAAGCCUCCAGCUCAACUGGAGAAGUGCCUUGGAUACCGGCGGCCUCGAGGGAGGUAGGGGCGUGCGGAACUUCGGGUGGAGCGGUGAAAUGCGUAGAUAUCACUUGGAACGCCAAUGGUGAAAACAGCUCGCUGGGAAUGAUCUGACACUGAGACGCGAAAGCCAGGGGAGCGAACGGG
rnacentral:rRNA from 1 species